rnacentral:lncRNA from 1 species
GCUGAUUGGACCUGUGAUGGGUGUUUGUUAGCUAUCUAGAAGUUGUCCAGGGCUCCCUGAGGGAGGCCAGCACAAGAGCUCUGCCAUAAAAGGACAUUGGACAGAAGUGAAGAGUCCAAUCAGAAACUCUUUUUGAGAGACUGAACGCAAAGCAUUCAGAGAGUCAGCAGGCUGGAGAGGCCAAGACACACACACGAAGAAGGCAGUGCCCUGUCAUCUCCUCAAAUGUUGCUCUUAUUCACUGAAGCAAGCUGACUCCCCAAUACCAUGUACAUACUGAACCCAGAAGAGGGGAGAAAAGAAGGAAGGAUUGUGCAUAGGAGUUCCUUUUGAAGAAGUGACAUGGAGGAACAGAGCCUCCUGUUUUCACCAAACCUAACAAUGAUCAGCCACACUGACUCUGAUUGAGUUAAGUAGAAAAGAAGUUUAUUAAAAGAUGACCAAGGAGCUCACAGAAACACCAGGAAAUUUUGAGAAGGUUCAGAAAACAGGUAGAAGAAGAGAGACUCUAGGUAUCUAGAACCCAAGUACAAAUCAUGCCACAAGAACAUGAGCAAUGGGCACUGCUGCUAAUAGCACUAGACACUGGACAUCAGAGCUUGCACUUGCCACCAGCAGAGGAAACCAGUGAAUGUUACUUUAUAGGGCAAAGGGGACUUUGCACAUGUAAUCUUGGAAGAGUAUCCCGGAUUACUUAGGGCUCAGUGUAACCACAAGGGUCCUUAUAAGAGGGAUGCAGGCGAUCAGAGGGAGAAGUAGGAGAGGUGAUGACCGAAGCAGAGAUUGAAGUGAUGCAGCCACAGGCCAAGGAAUUCUGGCAGUCACUAGAAGCUGAAAAGGGCAGGCCCCAGCUCUCCUGAAGCUCUCAGAGGAAGCAAUCCUGUCAGUUCCUUGAUUUUAGCACUAAUGUCAGACUUCUGACCUCCAGAAUUCUUCAAAGGGUCAGGUAACCUGUUACAGCAGCAAUAGAAAAAUGAACACAGCAGCUUUUGCCUGGAGACUCUCCAUUGGCCAAGCCAAGAUUGUCUCAGAAUUCUGCUGCACUCUGAGGCUCUUCCCACCAUUCUUUGUUUCUCAUUAUCCUUUUACAGUUGUUAGACCUGUCUCCCAAUCUAAUGGCUCUCUCCAACUCCCACUCCCUUUCUCUUUAUCCUCCAGAGCCAUUUUCCCUAAUGAAUUUCUUUCCCUAAUAAAUCUCGAAUCCCAUCUUGGCAUCUGCUUCUUGGAUGUUCUCAACUAAAUAAUGCUACCAAUCCUACUCUCUCUUGUGCCCCAGGAAACUGGAGGCUUUAGCUGCCUUCUACCCCACCACCCCACUCCUCAGAAUAGACUCUCUACCACUCCUCUUCAUCGGUUCACUAGCUUCCAAUGCAAAGUCCUGGGGUGGUGCCUGACUGGCCAAGCCUAGGUCACAUGCCCCCUCUCCAGGGCAGGAGGCUGGAAAAACAAGUCUCUGGCCUAUUUGACCUCCAUAGUGGAGGUCUCUAACCCUCAUGGAGACUCAUACAGUGAGGACAUCCCUAAACAUAAAAAGUGGGUUCAUGUGCUACCAGGUACCCCCAAUGUCUAUGACAAUAUCCCUCCCUCAAAUAUUGUGAAUCCCAUCCUGUGUGAACAAGAAACAUGUAGUCUUCUUUUGCAAGAACUUCUGAAGAUUUGUCAGGGAAUGCUUACACCAGCUCCGUGCUUCCUCUUGUCAUCUCCCAACCUUAUCUCUCUGUUAAUCGGUUGCCCCCUGUGGACACCAGCUCCUCUCUUUAUUCCAACAUGGCUGACACCAGCCAUAGAGAGUGACAAAACUUUACUGAGGGUUUGAGAAUAACAUGAGGAGUCAUACCACAUGCCUUAGUCCAUUUUGCGUUGUUAUCAAGAAAUGCCUGAGGCUGGGUAACUUACAGAGAAAAAAGAUUUAUUUGGCUUACUAUUCUGAUGGGCUGGAAGGUUCAGGAUUAGGCAUCUGCCAUUAGGACCUUGGGCUGCUUCCACUCACGACACGAGAGGAAGGAAGCUAGUGUAUGCAGAGAUCAUAUGGAAAGGAAGCAAAAGAGAGGUGAGGGUGCCGGGCUCUUUGUAACAACCAGCUGGAUCGGGAACUAAUGAGAUGAGAACUCACUCACCCCUGAGGGAGAGUAUUAAUCAGUUCAUAUGGGAUCUUCCUCCAUGACCCAAACCCCUCUCAUAAAGUCCCACCUCCAACACUGGGAUCAAAUUUCAACAUGAAGUUUUUUGGGGUACAAACAUCCAAACCACAGCACCACCAAAAGGGAGAUAGAAAAUUCUGUAUCACUGCUCCUAAAGCAGAUUGGUCAUAACCCCAUCGAAGGAAUCCCUUGGAAUUAAACUCUGCUCUUAAGCUCCUGCCUGCCACUGUGGUGCUAAAGUCCAUUUCUCCUCCUCUCCAUGAGCCCCCUGUUUUAUCACCACUCUGCCCAUCUCCACUCUUCCCUGGCCUGCUUCUUUCCUGAGGAAGCCAUAAAAUAUAUUAGAGAAAAAAAAAAUCUCUGAUGAGCAGCUUAGCUUUGCUCCAUCUUAAUCUGUUUCUUCCAGAAUAGAAGCAUGGCCCUAUCUUUGUUUAACUAAAGAGCUUA